GGUGGUAAUGCCGGAUGCUCCGACUCCUCGCAUGGGGUGUCGGGAAAGAUUUCAUCGGUAUGGGAUGGGGUCGCGUCCUAUCAGGUAGUCGGCGGGGUAACGGCCCACCGAGCCUACGACGGGUAGCCGGCCUGAGAGGGCGACCGGCCACAUUGGGACUGAGAUACGGCCCAGACUCCUACGGGAGGCAGCAGUGGGGAAUAUUGCACAAUGGGCGCAAGCCUGAUGCAGCGACGCCGCGUGCGGGAUGACGGCCUUCGGGUUGUAAACCGCUUUUGAUCGGGAGCAAGCCUUCGGGUGAGUGUACCUUUCGAAUAAGCACCGGCUAACUACGUGCCAGCAGCCGCGGUAAUACGUAGGGUGCAAGCGUUAUCCGGAAUUAUUGGGCGUAAAGGGCUCGUAGGCGGUUCGUCGCGUCCGGUGUGAAAGUCCAUCGCUUAACGGUGGAUCUGCGCCGGGUACGGGCGGGCUGGAGUGCGGUAGGGGAGACUGGAAUUCCCGGUGUAACGGUGGAAUGUGUAGAUAUCGGG
rnacentral:rRNA from 1 species